CAGGGUGCGGCUCGGGCCCGGCCCGGCCCGGCGGGACUCGCUUGGCGGCUGCUCGCGCACAGGCAACUCGGGCCGGGCCGGUGCGGAGCCGGCGAUGGCCUCAAAUCGUGGGAGCUGAGCGGUGCCAGCUGCAAUUGUUGCAUUCCUCAGAUUCACCGAGGCGGCGGCGGGGGGGGCUCUGCCAACUGGCCUGUGCUUUGCUUCAGCAGUUGCUUAUUUCCCCCCCUUCAUCAGUGGGAGGAUUUAAGGUGAACUGCAAAGGCGGUCUGGAAAGCAUCCGAGAAAUCUGUUUUGCAGUGUGCAGGAAACGCUGGUGAAGAGUUCUGCAGAUGGCACUUGUCCGUCCCAG